CUGCUGCGUUCUCUACCCCUAUAUUUUGUGUGGCUCUCUGCAUUUGUCUCAGCUCCAGACAAUGCUGCGAUGAAUACGCCUGUGCAUUCUUUUUUAGAACAAGUGUAAGGAUUCCUAUGUGGUUUUCAAGUCAGAAAGACUGCAAUUUUGAUGUUUUAGUCACCCUAAAUGGCAUAGACUGAAGCCUGC
rnacentral:lncRNA from 1 species